CGGGAUGUAGCGCAGCUUGGUAGCGCACCUCGUUCGGGACGAGGGGGGCGCAGGUUCAAAUCCUAUCAUCCCGA
rnacentral:tRNA from 1 species